rnacentral:rRNA from 1 species
GUGUACACGGUGGAUGCCCUGGCAGUCAGAGGCGAUGAAGGACGUGCUAAUCUGCGAUAAGCGUCGGUAAGGUGAUAUGAACCGUUAUAACCGGCGAUUUCCGAAUGGGGAAACCCAGUGUGUUUCGACACACUAUCAUUAACUGAAUCCAUAGGUUAAUGAGGCGAACCGGGGGAACUGAAACAUCUAAGUACCCCGAGGAAAAGAAAUCAACCGAGAUUCCCCCAGUAGCGGCGAGCGAACGGGGAGCAGCCCAGAGCCUGAAUCAGUGUGUGUGUUAGUGGAAGCGUCUGGAAAGGCGCGCGAUACAGGGUGACAGCCCCGUACACAAAAAUGCACAUGCUGUGAGCUCGAUGAGUAGGGCGGGACACGUGGUAUCCUGUCUGAAUAUGGGGGGACCAUCCUCCAAGGCUAAAUACUCCUGACUGACCGAUAGUGAACCAGUACCGUGAGGGAAAGGCGAAAAGAACCCCGGCGAGGGGAGUGAAAAAGAACCUGAAACCGUGUACGUACAAGCAGUGGGAGCACGCUUAGGCGUGUGACUGCGUACCUUUUGUAUAAUGGGUCAGCGACUUAUAUUCUGUAGCAAGGUUAACCGAAUAGGGGAGCCGAAGGGAAACCGAGUCUUAACUGGGCGUUAAGUUGCAGGGUAUAGACCCGAAACCCGGUGAUCUAGCCAUGGGCAGGUUGAAGGUUGGGUAACACUAACUGGAGGACCGAACCGACUAAUCUUGAAAAAUUAGCGGAUGACUUGUGGCUGGGGGUGAAAGGCCAAUCAAACCGGGAGAUAGCUGGUUCUCCCCGAAAGCUAUUUAGGUAGCGCCUCGUGAAUUCAUCUCCGGGGGUAGAGCACUGUUUCGGCAAGGGGGUCAUCCCGACUUACCAACCCGAUGCAAACUGCGAAUACCGGAGAAUGUUAUCACGGGAGACACACGGCGGGUGCUAACGUCCGUCGUGAAGAGGGAAACAACCCAGACCGCCAGCUAAGGUCCCAAAGUCAUGGUUAAGUGGGAAACGAUGUGGGAAGGCCCAGACAGCCAGGAUGUUGGCUUAGAAGCAGCCAUCAUUUAAAGAAAGCGUAAUAGCUCACUGGUCGAGUCGGCCUGCGCGGAAGAUGUAACGGGGCUAAACCAUGCACCGAAGCUGCGGCAGCGACGCUUAUGCGUUGUUGGGUAGGGGAGCGUUCUGUAAGCCUGCGAAGGUGUGCUGUGAGGCAUGCUGGAGGUAUCAGAAGUGCGAAUGCUGACAUAAGUAACGAUAAAGCGGGUGAAAAGCCCGCUCGCCGGAAGACCAAGGGUUCCUGUCCAACGUUAAUCGGGGCAGGGUGAGUCGACCCCUAAGGCGAGGCCGAAAGGCGUAGUCGAUGGGAAACAGGUUAAUAUUCCUGUACUUGGUGUUACUGCGAAGGGGGGACGGAGAAGGCUAUGUUGGCCGGGCGACGGUUGUCCCGGUUUAAGCGUGUAGGCUGGUUUUCCAGGCAAAUCCGGAAAAUCAAGGCUGAGGCGUGAUGACGAGGCACUACGGUGCUGAAGCAACAAAUGCCCUGCUUC